CUGACCCUCUUACACAUUUCAUUCGAAUGUUUGAUAACGGCUUUAAUGACAUCAAAUGCAUCUAUAGUGUCAUGGAAUGAAUCAAACGAUUUUAUGAAAUUCGAAAUGACCUGGGAAAAUUGGUUUCUCCCUGAAACUAUAUACCUAUUUCGUGCCGUUCUUAUGGAAGUUACAGUGACAGAAAAUACACAGUCAUCUCAUCUUCAACAUCAUCAAGAGCUAGCAUGACAUCUUUCGUCCCCAAGCUAAUUUCAAACACCGACCAACAAUACAGUUCCAUAACGUCGACGGAGAAUACUAUCAAAAUGAUCACAAAUCACGGCGUUCACAUCAACAAACAAGUAUUGAGAAAAUUAUAGAGAAGUUAUAUCCAUACUUAUAUGGUGAAGCUCAAAAAACAACAUUAUCAGAAUCUUUGUCUGUAUCAGUUAAAUUAAACUAUGAAUUAUUAGUUUCACCUGAGAUGUUUUUGAAAGAGAACAAUAAACUUAUGAAGAAAGAUUUGAAGUACAGAAUAGUCGCAUCUACUAAAAUUUUCUUCUGGGGCGAUGAUGUUGAUGAUGAUGGCAAUAACAAUGAUCAGAAAAUGUGUGUAAUAUGUUUAAAUGACAUCAAAGAG
rnacentral:lncRNA from 1 species